AGCGGGGAAGAGAAGAAGGAACACGCCAAGAGUGGAAAUGAGCUUCUACACGCUAGGGAAAAGGAAACUUGUGUUCAUCAAGUGUUUAUUGAGGCAAUUUUCUAGUUGCUCUGAGGAAUUCAGAAGUGGAUGCACUGGAUCUCAAGAUGAUAACUUAAUGAAGGAGAAAACAAAGCCCUGGGAAUAGCAAGAAAUCUGCCCAGAAGUGUAAAACCACCCUUUUACUGAAAGAACUUUCAGAAUGAGAACGUACAAUGAAAUGACUGGAGAGCUCAGGAAAGACACCCAGAAACGGUCACAGAACAUGCCUUCCUGAUGUGUAACGUGAUAAAACAUCUGAAACUCGGGACACCUGAGCACUUAGCCCAACAGCCAGAAACCAGAUGUUUGCCAAGGUUUUGGAAGCCAGCAAAGGUAUCCUGUGUUGAUUUUAACUUGAGACAGUUCUUCUACAGUUUGUUAUGUACAACGAGAACUCAGGAAAUCUUCACUAAGCACGAGGAUUCCUCGUUUCCCUUUCAGUCUUACCUAUGCAUCAGGUCCCUUCCAGGCUCACCUUCUCCAUGGACCGUCUCGA